CCCAUCUACCUAACCCUAGCAGCCGCGCGCUCCCUGGAGCUUCUCUCCCAGCCGCCGCCACCGCCUCUAUCUCUCCCUUCCCUCUUCUCUCUCCCCUCACAUCUCUCCUCUCUGUCCCGACCGAGCAACAGCGGCCAAGCACUCAAGUGUUCCGCGCUCGGCACUUUGGCUUCGGGAUUCCUGACCUAGCGCAGCCGCCACCACAGCGCUGCCCCUGUCGCGAUAGCUCUGCGUCGCCGCUCAACGGAGGCCGACGAGGUGACGAGAAGCGGAGGCCGAGCAGUCGCACUUGCAGGUCCAGUCCUGCUGGUCCGCAGUCCACAGUUCGCCCUCUACCCUCUGCUCUGGGAUCUGCAGUACCGUCUGCUUCGGCCUCAGCACUGCCAUCCGCUUCAGCCUCUGCACUACCGUCCAAGUCAAGUCGCUGUAUCACCUUAGCCCAUGGACGCUCCCCAUGCCUUGACGGCUUGACCUCCGAUGGAGAGGAAGCAAGGUGAGAAAUCACGAUUGUUUGUUGACUGUGUGAGGCCGUAAAAAUUGAGAUGUAUUUUUAAUAUUUUUGUAAUGCUAACCAUGUCAAAUAUGUCUACACGGUUGGAUGAAGUUGUACUGCUGUACCAGUUCACUGUAUUUGUAGACUACACUACGCCAUGCUUUGCCAAUGAACCAGCCAUCAUGUUCUACAAAAUUGGAGGAUGAACUAGCCAUGAUACUUUGCCAAUGAACCAGCCGAAGAGAUCUCCUCUACCUUGGCAGCACGAUCAAGAAUGCUGUUGUCACGGUCCCUGCCUACUUCAAUGACUCACAGAGACAGGCAAUUAAAAAAGAGAAUUGAUCUUUUUAUGGGCGAAGUGUCUUGUUAGCAUCAAGUAAGUGGCGACAUCACAACCCCUACAAGCUUGUGUCUUAAAACAAGAGGAUACAAGAAGUUGGAGUGCUUUUGUGAAGGCUUUUGCGAAUCACUUGAAGCGUUGGUACUUUUGUGAAUGAUUUUGUAAAGUGUUUGCAAAUAUGUGCAAAACAUAAUAACAUGUGUAGGUUUUGUGAAUGAUUUUGUUGUGGUGCUUGUUGAUGGUUUAUGUGAUGUGGAUCUAUCAUUGUGCAAUACUAAUUAAAUUUGUAUAUCUAUGUGAUUAUGUGUAUAAAAAAUGGUGAUUUGUGAUA